CCUACGGGAGGCAGCAGUGAGGAAUAUUGGUCAAUGGACGAGAGUCUGAACCAGCCAAAUAGCGUGAAGGAUGACUGCCCUAUGGGUUGUAAACUUCUUUUAUAUGGGAAUAAAAUGUUCCACGUGUGGGAUUUUGUAUGUACCAUAUGAAUAAGGAUCGGCUAACUCCGUGCCAGCAGCCGCGGUAAUACGGAGGAUCCGAGCGUUAUCCGGAUUUAUUGGGUUUAAAGGGAGCGUAGAUGGGUUGUUAAGUCAGUUGUGAAAGUUUGCGGCUCAACCGUAAAAUUGCAAUUGAUACUGGCAGGCUUGAGUACAGUUGAGGUAGGCGGAAUUCGUGGUGUAGCGGUGAAAUGCUUAGAUAUCACGAAGAACUCCGAUUGCGAAGGCAGCUUACUAAACUGCCACUGACAUUGAUGCUCGAAAGUGUGGGUAUCAAACAGGAUUAGAUACCCGAGUAGUC
rnacentral:rRNA from 1 species